CGACUCUUUCAACCGCUCAGACAUCCAUCCCCUUCUGUUACCUACUUUGACUCAUAUCUUCGGUAUACCUCAAUACAAGACAAGCACAGGAAAGGAUAUUCAACCAAAACCGGGCUAUCGCCCUAUCUAAGCAGGUUGACCCUCUCCUCUACGGAAGUCCUUUUUUCAUCUAUUUCUUUCAGUUCCUGUGUCUAUCGCUAUCGCCCUAUUAUCUCUCAAUUGCCUAUCCUUUAUAGAUGAGGGGGAGGCCCCAUCACUCUGUCUCGAAGGCAGGUUAAGUCAAGUGUAAAAUAAGGGUAGUGCAUUAAGAAGCUGCAACUAUCGCAUCAGCUAGAGCGGCAUUAGGCAUUGGAAAGGUGCUUAAUUCCGAUAGCGAUUUUAGGCUUUCAGAGCGGGAGAGGAAAAGAAAGAUGAGACCGGCUACAGGAGUUGCAGAGGCUCUCGAACUUUCUGUGAUCACUAUACGGUGAUUGUGAAAUUGGGAUCUUGAGGGUUUACAACUCCUUUUUUCUCUCUUCAAGUGGAAGGCAGGGAAGAUCAAAUGGAAUAGAACACUCUUCAUACUAUUUAUUCCAUUAUGUGCUUCCCUCUUCAAGAGCUAAGCUACUAGACUCAAAUCGUUUAUAGCAUCUCGUAUGGGACAUAUAUAGUCUUUACCCGAAUAGAGUACUUCAUUCUGACUUUCUCAUAGCGGGCAAUCCGUGCGAAAGGGCACUCUCCUCUGCUAUUUGUACCAGAAGACGAAAGCAAGGAAUCCUAGACUUCCGAGACGAUAGGAGCGAGGCUGAGCGUUAUAAGGCGGCUAAGGAAAUCAGUUAAUCUCUUUCUGAAAUAGAUCUCCCUUCGUCUGGCUUAGCUCAUGGAAUAGUAGCUCUUCCGCUAUACUCUAGAGAGAAAGAAAAGCCCUGUUUUGCCCGCCUUAUUAGAUUCAUUUCUGAGACGACACCGAUUGCUUACGCUUUCUCGACCCGGGUGCUGGGUUGGGGCCUUCUGAUCCAGAUACCUUAGAUCUGGCUAUGCUUGCUUGCUGACCUGUGCUACCUAUUGUAUUCUUGACACAUUAGGGUAGGAAUAAGUUUAAGCUGAGCUGCCUAUCUCGCUGUGAGCGCUACCUAAGCACUGUCGAAGGCAUUCAGAGAAGAGUGGAAUAGUCCUAGAGUUGAGAGGGCUUCUCACUAACACUUUUGACUCACUGCCAAAAGGGAUUGAUUCCCGGGAAGGUAAAUGCUACCUUGACAGAAGACUCUACUAAACUUCCAUAACCUUGAAUGAAAAAAGAGAGAUUUUGAUAUAUCAUUAAGGGAAUAACUCUUCCUUUACUGAUUGGAAUGGUCUUAUUGAAAUGAUAUUCCUUUUAUUGCUUGCACCUACUAGAAGGAGGAGAGAUCCUUAAUUACUGAUUAAGAGAAAGCAAGGACGCUAUGAGUGCUCGCUAAUGUCAUCCCUUUGAUUGCUUACUUCGCUAUCCAAGCUGGAUGUUGUGAGAGUUUCCAGAUGAGCAGGAAGGGCUGGAGGACGUAUUACCGGAGGGGAGGACUGAAUAGAAAGAACGAAAGCGACGUACGUACUGGAUUGACUAGCGUGUGCCAACUAUUCUACGUCCCUAUUUCUUGCUUUUUCACAUCCCCUGAUUAGUGCACUCUUUCCCCCAAUUCACUGAUAGAGAAGAAAGAGAUAAGCAAUGACCGGACUAGACCAAUGAAAACGGACCAAGGUUUUUAUUCGUUAGCCAAGCGCGCCUAUUACAGCGCCUCUAUUACUGAAGCGAAAGCGAUGUGCCCUAUUAACCAGCCGAAGAGUAUCCUUAUAAAAGAAUGAAUGGGAAGCAGGCCCGGUCUAUAUUGCUAGAGUUAUGUUUACUGCACCCCCCAUGUACUCCUCUCUCUAUUCUGAUAUUUGAAUUCCGUCUCUAAGCUUCCCCCUUAGUGCCUUAUUAGACUUAUUUCUUCUUGACUAUGGUUGAAUGGAAGUUUCAUUUCCUAAGUCUCAAAUCCUUUUUUCAUUUUAUUGAGUCCCCAUAGUGCAUUCCCCUACAUAGUCUUUAGAGUAAUUUCUCACUAAGAAGGAUUGCAAUAUAAAAAAGAGAAUUCCAGAUUGAAGAUCUCUUGACCCAUAUACGAUCCAGUUCUACAUCUUAGCGCUGAACUAAUGAAUAGAGAUUGAGCUUCACUUCGCGAGUCGGGAAUGGCAUCAUUUAUGAAAAAGUUCUAGCNNNNNNNNNNNNNNNNNNNNNNNNNNNNNNNNNNNNNNNNNNNNNNNNNNNNNNNNNNNNNNNNNNNNNNNNNNNNNNNNNNNNNNNNNNNNNNNNNNNNNNNNNNNNNNNNNNNNNNNNNNNNNNNNNAUAUAUAUAUAUAUAUAAAUUAGAUUUCUCGAUGCUUUGAAUAGCGUAGUUUCGUACCCAGCAAGCAAGGGAUGGGACUUUCUUUCUGAUCGUAGACCACUCUUACUUGUUUGCUAAAGAGGUGAAUUUCGGGCCGUAGUAAUAGUACGUACCUCAGCGCCUAGAAGAAAGCUUUCACUAGCUUUUUUGACUAUAAAGAAAAAUUCCCAUUGAGAGCGAACUAAAGGAAUGGACGGGAUCAUGAUGCGAUCGACCUUUACCUUAGCAGUAAUAGAGAGAGCGUAGCUGUAGACUGGGGUAGGGGCCAAGACGGAUUCUAUAUAAUAAUGAAUGGAAUCUCUUUGAUUGAUUUCUUGCGACAGCUUAUCGAUGCUCGUUAGCGGUGAAGUCCCUCAAACCAGAAGUUUCAAAAGCUUUUGACUGGGCCUACGAGAGAAAUGAACUUUACAUACUGAUAUCGCAUACCGAAGGGAAGGCCUAAUUGCACCACUCCUCCUUACCUUCCGCCAGCCGUCCCCCUCCUAGCCUUGAACAGAAGCUCAAGUGCACGAAGACCCUCUGACUUAAGCAGGUGCUAUCACUUAAGAGAAUCUCCGGGUCCUUCUUAAAGACUACCACCUUCUCUUCGGGCAUUGGAAGAUGAAUCAACUCCAUAUAAGCUGGAUGAGCCGAGCCUUCUUUUUGGAUUGGUCAAGACCUAGACCUAAUGGUCAGGGCGUACGUAGCCCACGUCCCUUCCACCCAAAAGGAGUUGCUGGAAAGCCUGGAACCGAACCUGACCUCCUUAUGUAUGUUGCCCAUCGUUGGUUGACGCGAUGGUGGAAUUCCCCCUAUCUCGGGCGGGUUGCCCAGGGGAGUCAUAAAGGAAUGGACAUCCGGAACCAUGUUACGUGCCCACGAAGUUUGGAGUGGAUGCCCGACCUCCUCUACCCCCGAAUCCCUUGACNNNNNNNNNNNNNNNNNNNNNNNNNNNNNNNNNNNNNNNNNNNNNNNNNNNNNNNNNNNNNNNNNNNNNNNNNNNNNNNNNNNNNNNNNNNNNNNNNNNNAUAAAUAGCUAUAUGCGCUUAACACACAUUCUUUGGACUCACCCCCCAUAUAAGGCCCUCUAAACACCAUGUGUUAAGCAUACGACGACAGAGACCUUUACCUUAGCAGUAAUAGAGAUAGCGUAGCUGUAGACAGGGGCAGGGCCCGAGACGGAUUCUAUAUAAUAAUGAAUGGAAUCGCUUUGAUUGAUUGCUUGCGACAGCUUAUCGAUGCUCGUUAGCGGUGAAGUCCCUCAAACCAGAAGUUUCAAAAGCUUUUGACUGGGCCUACGAGAGAAAUGAACUUUACAUACUGAUAUCGCAUACCGAAGGGAAGGCCUAAUUGCACCACUCCUCCUUACCUUCCGCCAGCCGUCCCCCUCCUAGCCUUGAACAGAAGCUCAAGUGCACGAAGACCCUCUGACUUAAGCAGGUGCUAUCACUUAAGAGAAUCUCCAGGUCCUUCUUAAAGACUACCACCUUCUCUUCGGGCAUUGGAAGAUUCAUCAACUCCAUAUAAGCUGGAUGAGCUGAGCCUUCUUUUUGGAUUGGUCAAGACCUAGGACCUAAUGGUCAGGGCGUACAUAGCCCACGUCCCUUCCACCCAAAAGGAGUUGCUGGAAAGCCUGGAACCGAACCUGACCUAUACAAGGAGAGCGGAAGAUAACAAAAGGGAGACAAAGUCCUAACUAAAUCAUAACACAAGCUACCAUUCCAUCUAUCAUAUCAGUCGAGUCGAUCCGAUUCGUUCUUAUCUAUAGAUAACGCAAGGGAUAACUUAUGACCUCGCGGAUGGAGAGGGAUUCGAACCCCCGGUAUUCCUAUCAAUACUUCGGUUUUCAAGACCGACUCUUUCAACCGCUCAGACAUCCAUCCCCUUCUGUUACCUACUUUGACUCAUAUCUUCGGUAUACCUCAAUACAAGACAAGCACAGGAAAGGAUAUUCAACCAAAACCGGGCUAUCGCCCUAUCUAAGCAGGUUGACCCUCUCCUCUACGGAAGUCCUUUUUUCAUCUAUUUCUUUCAGUUCCUGUGUCUAUCGCUAUCGCCCUAUUAUCUCUCAAUUGCCUAUCCUUUAUAGAUGAGGGGGAGGCCCCAUCACUCUGUCUCGAAGGCAGGUUAAGUCAAGUGUAAAAUAAGGGUAGUGCAUUAAGAAGCUGCAACUAUCGCAUCAGCUAGAGCGGCAUUAGGCAUUGGAAAGGUGCUUAAUUCCGAUAGCGAUUUUAGGCUUUCAGAGCGGGAGAGGAAAAGAAAGAUGAGACCGGCUACAGGAGUUGCAGAGGCUCUCGAACUUUCUGUGAUCACUAUACGGUGAUUGUGAAAUUGGGAUCUUGAGGGUUUACAACUCCUUUUUUCUCUCUUCAAGUGGAAGGCAGGGAAGAUCAAAUGGAAUAGAACACUCUUCAUACUAUUUAUUCCAUUAUGUGCUUCCCUCUUCAAGAGCUAAGCUACUAGACUCAAAUCGUUUAUAGCAUCUCGUAUGGGACAUAUAUAGUCUUUACCCGAAUAGAGUACUUCAUUCUGACUUUCUCAUAGCAGGCAAUCCGUGCGAAAGGGCUCUCUCAUCUGCUAUUUGUACCAGAAGACGAAAGCAAGGAAUCCUAGACUUCCGAGACGAUAGGAGCGAGGCUGAGCGUUAUAAGGCGGCUAAGGCAAUCAGUUAAUCUCUUUCUGAAAUAGAUCUCCCUUCGUCUGGCUUAGCUCAUGGAAUAGUAGCUCUUCCGCUAUACUCUGGAGUGAAAGAAAAGCCCAGUUUUGCCCGCCUUAGUAAGACCCUCUUUCUGAGCCUUCCCCUCCUCCUUUUGAGUCAUCUUGGAUGAGAAGACAGAGACCUACUUCAUCGACUUUCAAUGUCCGUGUGGAAUGCAACUUGCUCGCUGAAGUGGAGGCGCUUUCCGGUAGCAGGGUUUGAUUCUCUUUUUACGAUUACCAUUCAAAUCUUAAUUAAGUACCAGAUAGAAGAAACUAUUAGUAAGGAGUUCACGUAUGCUUUUUUCUCAUCGUGUAGCCGGAUAAUUCGAAUACCGCUACAUCCUUCCAUUCCUCAGGAAAGAUGAUCUACUAGUUCGCUGGCUCCAUGGAGGUGAAUUUGAUCGGGUGAAAGUGGUUAUCGGAAAUCGAUAUCCUUUAUUGGGAUUGAGGAAAGUGUUCUUUCUCUACGAAAUUCUAAGUGAGGUCAUAAUAGUCCUUUCUUUCGAAGUCAACUUUCAGCAUCGAAUGAGAACUUCUCUAAUUAGAUCAAUUUUGAAAAAGGAUUGAAACAUAGUUGAGGGGGAAACUCUUGCUUUCGAACGAACAGAGACAGAGACAAAGGCGAAGGCAGCAGUCUAGCUUUUUCCUUUUGUUUUCGUGUUUNNNNN
rnacentral:lncRNA from 1 species